CCUCUGGCACGUGUACAGACUGAGCUCAUCUUGAAGCCGGAGACCCAAAGUCUUGACCCAUCUUGAGACAGUGGUGGUACCCACAGGUGCCACUGGACACACGAGGCUAUGCCAGUGCUGGCAGAGAGGGAUGAAAGAGUUCCUGGUGGGACUGGGCAGAGGGCCUGCCCAUUGGGUUUUUGCCCUGAAGCCCUGGCACAAUCAGUGAGAAUCGCUCAACUACACCCAACUCUUUGCAACCCCAAGGACUAUAUGCUCCAUGGAAUUCUCCAGGCCAGAAUACUGGAGUGGGUAACCUUUCCCUU
rnacentral:lncRNA from 1 species